rnacentral:ncRNA from 1 species
UUAAAAGCAUUGAAGGGGAAGAGUAUAUAUUAUUCUUACAUUAAAGAGAGGGAAUUUAGGUGAAAGUUUCCCAUGAUAGGAUAUAUAGAAGGUAGCCCUGGAGCAUCAAAUAGAAAUCUAAAGAGAGUAGAAUUUGACGAAAGCCCUAUCGUUAAAAAGGGAAAAGUAUGUAAUAUACUUUUUUGAGUGUGUACGGAUGUACGAAAAAAGGUGGUACCGCGGAGAUUAUUAACUUCGUCCUUAGU